rnacentral:rRNA from 1 species
GACGAACGCUGGCGGCGUGCUUAACACAUGCAAGUCGAACGGAAAGACCCUGCUUUUGUGGGGUGCUCGAGUGGCGAACGGGUGAGUAACACGUGAGUAACCUGCCCUUGACUUUGGGAUAACUUCAGGAAACUGGGGCUAAUGCCGGAUAGGAGCUCCUGCUGCAUGGUGGGGGUUGGAAAGUUUCGGCGGUUGGGGAUGGACUCGCGGCUUAUCAGCUUGUUGGUGGGGUAGUGGCUUACCAAGGCUUUGACGGGUAGCCGGCCUGAGAGGGUGACCGGCCACAUUGGGACUGAGAUACGGCCCAGACUCCUACGGGAGGCAGCAGUGGGGAAUAUUGCACAAUGGGCGGAAGCCUGAUGCAGCAACGCCGCGUGCGGGAUGACGGCCUUCGGGUUGUAAACCGCUUUCGCCUGUGACGAAGCGUGAGUGACGGUAAUGGGUAAAGAAGCACCGGCUAACUACGUG